UGCAUAUCAAUAAGCGGAGGAAAAGAAACCAACAGGGAUUGCCUUAGUAGCGGCGAGUGAAGCGGCAAAAGCUCAAAUUUGAAAUCUGGCACUUUCAGUGUCCGAGUUGUAAUUUGAAGAAGGUAUCUUUGGGUCUGGCUCUUGUCUAUGUUUCUUGGAACAGAACGUCACAGAGGGUGAGAAUCCCGUGCGAUGAGAUGUCCCAGACCUAUGUAAAGUUCCUUCGAAGAGUCGAGUUGUUUGGGAAUGCAGCUCUAAGUGGGUGGUAAAUUCCAUCUAAAGCUAAAUAUUGGCGAGAGACCGAUAGCGAACAAGUACAGUGAUGGAAAGAUGAAAAGAACUUUGAAAAGAGAGUGAAAAAGUACGUGAAAUUGUUGAAAGGGAAGGGCUUGAGAUCAGACUUGGUAUUUUGUAUGUUACUCUCUCGGGGGUGGCCUCUACAGUUUACCGGGCCAGCAUCAGUUUGAGCGGUAGGAUAAGUGCAAAGAAAUGUGGCACUGCUUCGGUAGUGUGUUAUAGUCUUUGUCGAUACUGCCAGCUUAGACUGAGGACUGCGGCUUCGGCCUAGGAUGUUGGCAUAAUGAUCUUAAGUCGCCCGUCUUGAAACCACGGACCA
rnacentral:rRNA from 1 species